GUCCUACGGGGCGCAGCAGUGGGGAAUAUUGCACAAUGGGGGGAACCCUGAUGCAGCGACGCCGCGUGAGUGAAGAAGUAUUUCGGUAUGUAAACCGCUUUCAGCAGGGAAGAGACAGACGGUACCUGCAGAAGAAGCCCCGGCUAACUACGUGCCAGCAGCCGCGGUAAUACGUAGGGGGCGAGCGUUAUCCGGAUUCAUUGGGCGUAAAGCGCGCACAGGCGGACCGUUAAGCGGGACCUCUAAUCCUGGGGCUCAACCUCAGGCCGGGUCCCGAACUGGCGGUCUCGCGGGCGGUAGGGGAG
rnacentral:rRNA from 1 species